rnacentral:rRNA from 1 species
CACGUAGGGCGCAAGCGUUGUCCGGAAUUAUUGGGCGUAAAGAGCUCGUAGGUGGUUUGUUACGUCUGCUGUGAAAUCCUAGGGCUUAACCCUGGGCUUGCAGUGGAUACGGGCAGACGUAGAGGUAGGUAGGGGAGAAUGGAAGUUCCUGGUGUAGCGGUGAAUGACGCAGAUAUCAGGAGGAACACCGGUGGCGAAGGCGGUUCUCUGGGCCUUACCUGACACUGAGGAGCGAAAGCGUGGGGAGCGAACAGG